GAGAGAGAGAGAGAGAGAGAGAGAGAGAGAGAGAGAGAGAGAGAGAGAGAGAGAGAGAGAGUAACUCACUGACUUACCUCAAGCCAAAGUGGGAAGCCAAAGGACGCCCUUGGGAGCAGCUCCUCAGAUUGGGUUCCGCCCUGCUUUCUGACUGUCUGGCCUUCACACAGGAUUUCAAAAGCGGCCUUGCUGGUUUCACAGUUAUUAGUUAUCCGGAGGAUGACAUCUUCUUGGUGAUUUUCCAAUGUAAUGUUGUUCGCGUUGACGACGGUGUCCGGAACAGAACGGAGCUCUCGAAGCAAAGAGCGAACCUUUUUGUUAGAUUCGAUUAUUUUUCCAAACUC
rnacentral:misc_RNA from 1 species